CCUACGGGUGGCAGCAGUGGGGAAUAUUGCACAAUGGGGGGAACUCUGAUGCAGCGACGCCGCGUGGGUGAAGGAGUAUUUCGGUAUGUAAAGCCCUAUCAGCAGGGAAGAACAAUGACGGUACCUGACUAAGAAGCACCGGCUAAAUACGUGCCAGCAGCCGCGGUAAUACGUAGGGGGCAAGCGUUAUCCGGAUUUACUGGGUGGAAAGGGAGCGCAGGCGGCGCGUUAAGCCUGGUGUGAAAGCCCGAGGCCCAACCGCGGGACUGCAUUUGGGACUGGCGCGCUAGAGUGCAGGAGGGGUAGGCGGAAUUCCUGGUGUAGCGGUGAAAUGCGUAGAUAUUAGACAGAACACCAGUGGCGAAGGCGGCCUACUGGACGGUGACUGACGCUGAGGCUCGAAAGCGUGGGGAGCAAACAGGAUUAGAUACCCUAGUAGUC
rnacentral:rRNA from 1 species